rnacentral:rRNA from 1 species
GACGAACGCUGGCGGCGUGCCUAAUACAUGCAAGUAGAACGCUGAAGAGAGGAGCUUGCUCUUCUUGGAUGAGUUGCGAACGGGUGAGUAACGCGUAGGUAACCUGCCUUGUAGCGGGGGAUAACUAUUGGAAACGAUAGCUAAUACCGCAUAACAAUGGAUGACCCAUGUCAUUUAUUUGAAAGGGGCAAAUGCUCCACUACAAGAUGGACCUGCGUUGUAUUAGCUAGUAGGUGAGGUAACGGCUCACCUAGGCGACGAUACAUAGCCGACCUGAGAGGGUGAUCGGCCACACUGGGACUGAGACACGGCCCAGACUCCUACGGGAGGCAGCAGUAGGGAAUCUUCGGCAAUGGGGGCAACCCUGACCGAGCAACGCCGCGUGAGUGAAGAAGGUUUUCGGAUCGUAAAGCUCUGUUGUAAGUCAAGAACGAGUGUGAGAGUGGAAAGUUCACACUGUGACGGUAGCUUACCAGAAAGGGACGGCCAACUACGUG